GCCCUAUUUUGAAAAAAAUUGUUCAAUUAGCAUUGUGGAAAUAAUGCAUCAGCUUUAUGCAAUUUUCUCCUGUAAUCAAACUAUAUAAAUGUAUACAUGAUUAAUAGGUCCAUGCCUUCUCUUUGAGCCUUAACAUCAAUAAAAUAAUCUCCAAAAGAAAGUUUAAAUUGAUGAGGCUAUAAUAUUUUAUACAUUAUUGAGAGGACCAACCAAGUGUGACCUUUUUUAGGGGACUAA
rnacentral:misc_RNA from 1 species